rnacentral:rRNA from 1 species
GAUGAACGCUGGCGGCGUGCCUAAUACAUGCAAGUCGAGCGAACAGACGAGGAGCUUGCUCCUCUGACGUUAGCGGCGGACGGGUGAGUAACACGUGGAUAACCUACCUAUAAGACUGGGAUAACUUCGGGAAACCGGAGCUAAUACCGGAUAAUAUAUUGAACCGCAUGGUUCAAUAGUGAAAGACGGUUUUGCUGUCACUUAUAGAUGGAUCCGCGCCGCAUUAGCUAGUUGGUAAGGUAACGGCUUACCAAGGCAACGAUGCGUAGCCGACCUGAGAGGGGGGUCGGCCACACUGGAACGGGGACAGGGUCCAGGCUCCUACGGGAGGCACCAGAAGGGAAUCUUCCGCAAUGGGCGAAAGUUUGACGGAGCACCGCCGCGGGAGUGAUAAAGGUCUUGGGAGCGUAAAACUCUGUUAUUAGGGAAAAACAAAUGUGUAAGUAACUAUGCACGUCUUGACGGUACCUAAUCAAAAAGCCACGGCUAACUACGUG